AGCAGAAGGUAAUUUUAUCCUCAGCACUUAGUACAGCUACGACACAUCUCACAAAAGAAAUCCAGCAUCGGCUCUGAUCAUCCUUAAACUAUCAGGAUCUGAGUCAUAUCCCAGUCUGGAAGGAGGAGUGGGUUAUGUUCAAAAAUAGGACUGAAGGACGCACAUCAGGAGACAAUCAUUUCACUGGAAGGAGAAGAACAGCUUGUCUGACUUAAGCCAUCACUGCAGUGAUUUGGAGUGGUAAAUGCAGGAACAUUCCGGGGAUAUAGCUGUGAGAUUAAAUUUUUGCCAGAAACACAGGCACAGAGUCACUGGAAAUGCAAGGAGGAGCAGCACAGAUGCCAUCAGGAGCUGUGCAGGUGUUUGCAUGGGAGCAUGUGUGUACACUUCACUUCCUAACAUGAAUCUUCAAAAAGACCAUGUUUUGUCCUGCUUCUGCCUCACAGAGGAAGAUGACCAAAAAUCUGAACGACACCAGAAAGUCUGCAUUAUGUUUGAUCCUUUUAACUACUGGGAUGCUGAACAAAUAGCACACAUCCAAGAAACAUACUGUGGGUAGGUCUUUCCCCUCUGAAAAAUUGUAUGACGUGAAAAUAUUUCUGUUUUUCUAUAGGAAGAGAUUUUUAUUUAUUUAUUUAUUUAGCCUAGGAAAUGAUGCUUUGUUCCUUUGUUGCAGC